UACGGGGGGGGCAAGCGUUGUUCGGAAUUACUGGGCGUAAAGGGCUCGUAGGCGGCCAACUAAGUCAGACGUGAAAUCCCUCGGCUUAACCGGGGAACUGCGUCUGAUACUGGAUGGCUUGAGUUCGGCAGAGGGAAGCGGAAUUUCUGGUGUAGCGGUGAAAUGCGUAGAUAUCAGAAGGAACAUCAGUGGCGAAAGCGGCUUCCUGGACCAGAACUGACGAUCAGGCACGAAAGCGUGGGGAGCAAACAGG
rnacentral:rRNA from 1 species